rnacentral:misc_RNA from 1 species
GAGAGAGAGAGAGAGAGAGAGCCGGGAGGAUGGUUUUGUCUUUAGUCGGAGUCAACUGUCAAGAAGAAGAAGAGCUGAUUUUGAAAUGAUAUUGAAAUGUGCAGGUUUGAACUAACGGCAGGUCGUUUGAUUUUGGGUUGAGGCUCAUGCUAAUUUCACGGGAGAGGAAUAAGAGGAUCGUGUCUGCUGAAUAGAGAGUGGAGGGGGAAAUUU